UGGGGAAUAUUGGACAAUGGGCGCAAGCCUGAUCCAGCCAUGCCGCGUGAGUGACGAAGGCCUUAGGGUUGUAAAGCUCUUUUGGCGGGGAAGAUAAUGACGGUACCCGCAGAAUAAGCUCCGGCUAACUUCGUGCCAGCAGCCGCGGUAAUACGAAGGGAGCUAGCGUUGUUCGGAAUCACUGGGCGUAAAGCGCACGUAGGCGGACUUGUCAGUCAGGGGUGAAAUCCCGGGGCUCAACCUCGGAACUGCCUCUGAUACAGCAAGUCUUGAGUCCGGAAGAGGUGGGUGGAAUUCCUAGUGUAGAGGUGAAAUUCGUAGAUAUUAGGAAGAACACCGGUGGCGAAGGCGGCCCACUGGUCCGGUACUGACGCUGAGGUGCGAAAGCGUGGGGAGCAAACAGG
rnacentral:rRNA from 1 species